UGGAACUCUAAACAUGGAUAAAUUAUUUCUCCUUCUGUUUAAUGUGAGGCUACUUCAGGCUUUCUAGAAAAUAGGUUGCACUUGCUUUCCUCUUGGCUGCAUAACAUGUGUGCUGGUCUUAAGCAUACUUAAGAAAAACAUAAUUUUCUUUAGCCUGUUAUAUCUAUCUCAUGAGGAUAUACUCACAAUGCAUGUAAAUUAUAAUGCAUUACCAGUUAAAAGGCAUACCCAGAGAAAUCCCAGAGUCUAGACAUCCCAUAUCUUAACCCAUUUCCACUAAUAUUCUUCUCAGAACACUUUUUUCAUAGUUUUGAAAGAUACAAGUUUUCUAAAAAUAGGAGUCCAUCAGAAUCAGUAGAAGCAACUAAUGGAUUAGGUCACAUUUUUCUCUUGUCUAGCAAAGUCGCCUUAUCAGGAUUACACUUGUGCUGAAACACUCUCCCAAACUGGAGCUGAGAUCAGUGACCCUGUACUUUUCCUGUGCUUUGGCCACUCAUUGCCAUCCUAUUGGAAGUUCUGCAAGUCUGAAGAGGAGAAGCUGAGGUGGCUGUAAAGGAUAAACAGCAACAAAAAGCAGAACAAGAAGACCUACACAAGUGCAGCAAGUUUGUAAGGCUUAAGAAGAGGGAACAGUGAGGAAGAGCAGGCUGAAGUACCUCUCAUCCAGCUUUCAGAUCCCUUAGAAAGGGGAAAUAUUUUAGACACUGGUAAUAACUGAUGUUUUUAUGAAGAACAGCCCUGAUGGUGUUUGGCCAUCUUGAAAUCUCCUCUUGAUCGUAGGACUUCUCCACUCCUGGAAUAGAAACAAUACCCUGAGACUUCAACAAUCAGUCACACAGCAUGAAUAAUGAGAAAUAUUUCAAAGCAACAGUCAAAUUUGCAUAAAACAUUCAUUUGGUUUAUUUGAAUAUCCACCAAAUAAAUGCAAAUCAAAAGGAAUCCAUGGAUCAUUUACAAUCAGGAAGGAGGGCUGAAACCAUUGAAUAGAUGACUUGAUGAAAAAAUGUUCAUGGGUCUGUCUUUCUAGAACAAAAAAGGGGAGAUACGUUGGAGCAAAAGCUACUAGGAAAUGAGCUUCUUGCCCAGCCUGACAAGGUUUAUUUCCAUAUAGGUCCUCCAUAUAGGUGACUCUGUUUCUUCCUCUGGAUGUUGUUUUCAAGAAGGUUUGGAGGGAGAGAGAGGAAAUCUGGGAACCCCAGUUUGCAACAAUGAGGGGGGAAGUAGUUAAAAACAUGGGUUUAAUUGAUUUUUGUAAGAGGAGAACCAGAGGUAAGCAUUUUCAGGAAAUAUUAGUUUCCAGAAAUGCACGUACUAAUAAUUUUUUUUAAUGGUACACUACAUGCCUGGGAAAAUCAGUUACAGGAGGGUCUCUUUAGAUUCAAAACAGGACAGUUUCAGAUGAAACUCAGAAAUAUGAGUGCUUCAAUUCUGUCUGCUCCAUUUCACUUACUUUUCUCCUCCUCCUUGUAGAAGGUGCUGACAAUCCUCUGCUGUGAGUCUAUAUUCAGUUUCAAGACAGUAAACUCUUCCAGCUGUCAUACCUAAGGAUGAAACCUAAAAUCAACUGAUAGCUUAUCAGGAGGUGCUUUUCAUUUAUGUGCUCCUGCCACUGCUCAGGCUUCUCAUUUCUUGGAAAACUGUUGGUCAGAAAAUAAAAAAAAAAAAAAACCCAAACAUGUGCAUCAUUCAAAUGUGGAUGCAAUUAAUUUAAUUAGGAAAUUCCGUAAUCCUGAUGUAAGAACAAUUUUAUAUAGGAUGGAAGAUCAAAUAAUGUGUCUCCUUCAAUAUUUAAACUAAAGAACCAUGUCUCUGUCUAGUUACUGAUUGCACUCUACUUUACAACAAAAAGCUUCCACCUGUUCUUCUUUCUUUGGCAAUAUGACAUCAACAGAGAUUUCCUGCGUGCCAAAAUAAUUACCCAAAUGAAAAGAUACAUAUUUAUUGCUUUGAUAACUCUCAUGGGUGAGGAGAGAGCACAGUGUAUUUUGGAUAAGUCAAUCCCUAUCAGACAUGACUCUACCAGACAGUCUAUGUCUCUGUGCAGUUCUUCAGCCUGGGCUCUUUCAAAAUGUCAAUAUUUGACACUCAUCAUUGCUUAAAGCACAUGCUGAUGCUCCUGCCAGAUGACUCCCUUCUUGCAGGACAGGAUUGAUCAGUGGGCUGUUCAGAGUCCCCCAGAGAGACUCUUUAACUUAAGGCCUAUGUCAGCAGGUUAAACAGAUGGCUCUGUUCAACAGCCAACAUCCUGCACAGCAGUCCCUGUGAAGAUACUAAGCCUAACAGCUGACAAAAUCUGGGGAGCUGCCAGUUCCACAGGGAAUUCCAUUUUGGGGGAGACAGGAAGGAAGAUCCUCACUCAGAAAGUAGCUCACUCACUCCUAGAACAGUCCAAUCUUUUUAGGUCUUCUUCAUUGCUUCUAGGGUUCUUCUGGCAUCUGUUUUGUUGAGUGUUUUUUUAAGGAUUAUGGAUGGAAAUACGGCACACCUGCUUCUCAUGGAGCUUAUCCUAUAGAGUUUGGAGUAUGGGUGGUGUGUUAGUUGAAUGAAAUGAGUCUGUCCCAUUGCAUGCUCACAGAAGGGACCUUAUGCUCAGAGUUGUCAUUACUCUCCCUCACUGGUUGCUCUUCUUUCUAUACCUAAAUCUCAGCAGAGUAAGCCCCUCAAACCAUGAACUCCUCUUUCCAAAAGAAAACAAAAAAACCCAAACACCUUUUCAUAUAUUCUGUGUAUUAACUAGACAUUUCAUCUGAUGAAAUGUCUAGUUCCAGGAACACAGCAAGGAGAUGGCAUAAGAUGUACAGAUUUCUGAUUUUCAGCUUGAAGAGCACAGACCACUUUUGCUUUCUCUGAAGGCAAAUCAAAGGCCGAAUGAUCCAACUGUAACUUCUCUUUUCUUAUUUCCUUAUAUUCAGAGAGCAAGAACUGUGCCAUCCAAAUACCAAACACAAUUACUUUUUAGGGAAAAAUUUAAAUUAACCCCCAUAAAAUCAAUUGAAUAAUAUCUUAAAAAUAACAGUCAUAUGAAACAAGCUAUUUUUAGAUAGAAAGCUGGUGAGUUUCCUGAUUUGAGCUGCUAGAGACAUUGUUACUGGCAUCUGGAAAUUUCAUUGUUAUUAUACUUUUUAUUUGUUAAACUAGAUCACAAACGAGCUAUUUAUUUGUAUUUCUUUGCUCUUUAUUCUGCAAAAAAACCUGCUGAGAUACACACGAGAUGUCUGUCUCUGUUCUGUAUGACUUUAUUUCUCAUACCUGCAUUUGUCAUGGCUUAUUGCUCACCUGACUGCUACUUCC